GGGUCAAUGAUGACAACACAAUGUCAUUAAAAGAGGUGAUGUCAUCAAAAUAAGCCUUUAGGUGUGUUCUGAGGCCC